rnacentral:tRNA from 1 species
UCCCUAGUGGCUCAGAUGGUAAAGUGUCUGUCUGCAAUGCAGGAGACCUGGGUUCGAUCCCUGGGUUGGGAA